CUCGUAGGCGGUUUGUCACGUCUGCUGUGAAAUUUCGAGGCUCAACCUCGAACUUGCAGUGGGUACGGGCAGGCUAGAGUGCGGUAGGGGAGAUGGGAAUUCCUGGUGUAGCAGUGGAAUGCGCAGAUAUCAGGAGGAACACCAAUGGCGAAGGCACAUCUCUGGGCCGUAACUGACGCUGAGGAGCGAAAGCGUGGGGAGCGAACA
rnacentral:rRNA from 1 species